rnacentral:rRNA from 1 species
CUGGCGGCGUGCCUAAUACAUGCAAGUCGAACGGUCUUUCUAUGGAAGCUUGCUUCCACUGAGAAGAUAGUGGCGAACGGGUGAGUAACACGUGGGUAACCUGCCCAUAAGAGGGGGAUAACAUCCGGAAACGGGUGCUAAUACCGCAUAGUUUUCUUGAUCGCAUGAUUGAGAAAGGAAAGACGGCCUUUGUGCUGUCGCUUAUGGAUGGACCCGCGGCGUAUUAGUUAGUUGGUGAGGUAACGGCUCACCAAGACGAUGAUACGUAGCCGACCUGAGAGGGUGAUCGGCCACAUUGGGACUGAGACACGGCCCAAACUCCUACGGGAGGCAGCAGUAGGGAAUCUUCCGCAAUGGACGAAAGUCUGACGGAGCAACGCCGCGCGAGUGAAGAAAGGUUUUCGGAUCGUAAAACUCUGUUGUCAGAGAAGAACAAGUUGGAGAGUAACUGCUCCAGCCUUGACGGUAUCUGACCAGAAAGCCACGGCUAACUACGUGCCAGCCGCCGC